UACGGGGGGGGGCAAGCGUUGUUCGGAAUUACUGGGCGUAAAGGGCUCGUAGGCGGCCAACUAAGUCAGACGUGAAAUCCCUCGGCUUAACCGGGGAACUGCGUCUGAUACUGGAUGGCUUGAGUUUGGGAGAGGGAUGCGGAAUUCCAGGUGUAGCGGUGAAAUGCGUAGAUAUCAGGAGGAACACCGGUGGCGAAGGCGGAUCUCUGGGCCUUGCCUGACGCUGAGGCGCGAAAGCUAGGGGAGCGAACAGG
rnacentral:rRNA from 1 species